UGCACAGUGGAGCAGUUGGUAGCACUGUUGGCCUUGCAGUGAGAAGGUCCUGGGUUCAACUCCCAGUCUGGGGAGUGCAU